rnacentral:rRNA from 1 species
AGCGAACGCUGGCGGCAGGCCUAACACAUGCAAGUCGAGCGCCCCGCAAGGGGAGCGGCAGACGGGAGAGUAACACGUGGGAACGUACCCUUCAGGUCGGAACAACCCAGGGAAACUUGGGCUAAUACCGAAUACGUCCGUAAGGAGAAAGAUUUAUCGCUGAAGGAUCGGCCCGCGUCUGAUUAGCUAGUUGGUGAGGUAACGGCUCACCAAGGCGACGAUCAGUAGCUGGUCUGAGAGGAUGAUCAGCCUCACUGGGACUGAGACACGGCCCAGACUCCUACGGGAGGCAGCAGUGGGGAAUAUUGGACAAUGGGCGCAAGCCUGAUCCAGCCAUGCCGCGUGGAUGAUGAAGGCCCUAGGGUUGUAAAGUCCUUUCGGCGGGGAAGAUAAUGACGGUACCCGCAGAAGAAGCCCCGGCUAACUUCGUGCCAGCCGCCGCAGUAAUAC